rnacentral:rRNA from 1 species
CUGAAAUUCGCCUUCAUGAAGCCGGAAUUGCUAGUAACGGCAGGUCAGCAUACUGCCGUGAAUACGUUCCCGGGCCUUGUACACACCGCCCGUCACACCAUGAGAGUUGGGGAUACCCGAAGCCUGUGAGCCAACUGUAAAGAGGCAGCAGUCGAAGGUAGAAUCAAUGAUUGGGGUGAAGUCGUAACAAGGUAAC